GACGAACGCUGGCGGCGUGCUUAACACAUGCAAGUCGAACGGAAAGGCCCUGCUUUUGUGGGGUGCUCGAGUGGCGAACGGGUGAGUAACACGUGAGUAACCUGCCCUUGACUUUGGGAUAACUUCAGGAAACUGGGGCUAAUACCGGAUAGGAGCUCCUGCUGCAUGGUGGGGGUUGGAAAGUUUCGGCGGUUGGGGAUGGACUCGCGGCUUAUCAGCUUGUUGGUGGGGUAGUGGCUUACCAAGGCUGUGACGGGUAGCCGGCCUGAGAGGGUGACCGGCCACAUUGGGACUGCGAUACGGCCCAGACUCCUACGGGAGGCAGCAGUGGGGAAUCUUGCACAAUGGGCGGACGCCUGAUGCAGCAACGCCGCGUGCGGGAUGACGGCCUUCGGGUUGUAAACCGCUUUCGCCUGUGACGAAGCGUGAGUGACGGUAAUGGGUAAAGAAGCACCGGCUAACUACGUG
rnacentral:rRNA from 1 species